AUUGAACGCUGGCGGAAUGCUUUACACAUGCAAGUCGAACGGUAGAGGGGGCAACCCCUCGAGAGUGGCGAACGGGUGAGUAAUAUAUCGGAACGUGCCCAGUCGUGGGGGGUAACGUAGCGAAAGUUACGCUAAUACCGCAUACGAUCUAAGGAUGAAAGCGGGGGAUCGCAAGACCUCGCGCGAUUGGAGCGGCCGAUAUCAGAUUAGGUAGUUGGUGGGGUAAAGGCUCACCAAGCCAACGAUCUGUAGCUGGUCUGAGAGGACGACCAGCCACACUGGAACUGAGACACGGUCCAGACUCCGACGGGAGGCAGCAGUGGGGAAUUUUGGACAAUGGACGCAAGUCUGAUCCAGCCAUUCCGCGUGCAGGAUGAAGGCCCUCGGGUUGUAAACUGCUUUUGUACGGAACGAAAAGGUCUCUCUUAAUACGGGGGACUCAUGACGGUACCGUAAGAAUAAGCACCGGCUAACUACGUGCCAGCAGCCGCCGUAA
rnacentral:rRNA from 1 species